rnacentral:rRNA from 1 species
CCUACGGGGGGCUGCAGUGAGGAAUAUUGGUCAAUGGACGAGAGUCUGAACCAGCCAAGUAGCGUGAAGGAUGACUGCCCUAUGGGUUGUAAACUUCUUUUAUAUGGGAAUAAAAUGUUCCACGUGUGGCAUUUUGUAUGUACCUUAUGAAUAAGGAUCGGCUAACUCCGUGCCAGCAGCCGCGGUAAUACGGAGGAUCCGAGCGUUAUCCGGAUUUAUUGGGUUUAAAGGGAGCGUAGGUGGGUUGUUAAGUCAGUUGUGAAAGUUUGCGGAUCAACCGUAAAAUUGCAAUUGAAACUGGCAGUCUUGAGUACAGUUGAGGUGGGCGGAAUUCGUGGUGUAGCGGUGAAAUGCUUAGAUAUCACGAAGAACUCCGAUUGCGAAGGCAGUUCACUGGACUGCAACUGACACUGAGGCUCGAAAGUGUGGGUAUCAAACAGGAUUAGAUACCCCUGUAGUC